ACAGUGCUUCCAAGGCCACCUUGCUCAGCUCCCACUUUUGUUUACCUCACAGACCUCUGAUUGCCCCAGGGACAGCCAGUCAUUUGUCAUUUUCAGCCACCUCACAGAGGCACUGGGCUCUUAGCUAUGCCCCCUCCCUUCCACCCCACACUCUCCUGUCCUGCCUGGCUCCUUUUACUCAUCACCCAACCUGAGGCUCCACCAGUGGACCCUCACUCCUGAGCACCCGAGGGAAAUGCAGAUUUACCUGUAGGAGUUCUGAAGCAAGGGAAAGCAAGCUGGAGUGGGAACCCCAUACUUGGGCCCAGUAACAAAGAGAAAUUGAUUUCGACUUACCUGAGCUACUGGAUCCAAGCUCCUUUAGGUCGCUGCUGAGAUGUAAGGAAAUCAUGCUGCCACGUCCUGUUGCUCUAGACCAAGACAGCUCCAGCCAUCAUGCCUUCCCAUCAGUGAACCAUGAGCCAAGUAAAAUUUCCCUCCUUUAA